CAGGUAACUUUUCAGCAAUGAAUAUAAGCUUGUUUUAAGUCAAUAAUUUCUUAAUAUUGAUGAAAACGUUCCAGUUACACAGGCAGAUCAUUUCACUAAUAAUGUGGGAAAAUCCCUUGUUUCACAUAAAAUAAUAUGGCAGUGGAUCUAAUACUGUCUCAUCAAUAUUAAUGGAUUAUUUACUUAAAACAACCUCCUGCAGCUUCCUGAAACAUUACUGGUAAGUUAGUUUUGUUUUACAUCAAGACAAAACUAGACUAAACACUAAAAACUGGACAAAAAUACUUGGUAGAUUUUCUGCUUUUACAAUAAAAUACAGUGAGGUUUGGCUGUAAUGUGACUGAUUGUGUUUGCUCAACAUUCUGAAUAUUUUCUUCUCCUCCCCUCCUUUUGUCCUGCAAUUUGCUGUUAGUUGUUAGUUAUUCUUUUAUAUGUUGGACCUUUGAAAAGCUCGGUUCUCCUAAUAAAUUCCCAAACAAUUAAAACCCGCCCCGCCCUCCUCUCCCCAGCGCUGUGCUCCCUGCAGCAUGAUCCUGGACAGAUUAAAACUCCAGUUAUAUAAUCUGCAGAAAUGGCGGAUGGAUGGGGGGAAAUAUCUACGCUCAAACAAGAGAGAAGAAGAGAAAACUCUGCAGAACAUCGUCUGUAGCAUCAGCCCGAGCCUCCUCUCUCUCUGGAUCGUCGGAGCAGAUGCAGAAACUGCGAUUUGCUGGCUCAUGCAUCCACACCACGUCCCUCCCUUCCCCCGCCUGCUGCUCGCCCUGCACGCUCUCCGAGCGGUUUGUUUUUGUUGCGUACCUUCUGGUGUGGGAUGACAGGCAUCGGUGAGUCCAUUCUUGGAGCUGCCGUGGGAACUGGUACAGGACGUCUGGAUCUACAAAUGUAACAAAAUUUUUAUUAAAAAUUUAUUGACUUGA